AUGGAAUUUCAUAUAGAAUGCAACUUAAUUAUGUUUUCUUGAUGCUUUUUCCUCUCUCUUGCUAUACUCAUCCAUUUAAGCAAACUUUUGUUGCUGUAAAACAAGGAACCAUUGGAUUUUAUACAGCCCUAUCCCUGGUGCCUUUAUGUCAUCUACAUUCACACUCUGCAUAUUUAGCAUCGCUUGUAAUGAGGCUUCCUGAACCAUGGUAACCCUUGUAACUCAGUAAACAAUGGAAACUAGAUGGAUCAUUCUUUCUAGUGGCAUGUUGUGAGGUAAUCGGCUUUUAUUACGGCUUUCUUGCAGAGGUGAUUGGGAGUAGAUGCUAUAAACACAGGGCAGAAUAUAUUCGUUUUCCCAAAAAGCCAAGUUCAAGAUUUGUAUGAAUUGUUGUUGUUAAUGUUCCCACAGUCAUUUUCAGCUUCUUCCUGAGCCUGUAAAUGGAUAAUCUUGCUUAAUCUGUCUGCUUUCCUUUUCAAUAUCUCUUUAAGGGAUUCCAGUCCCUCUGUAGAAAUCAUCCAGAAGAAAAUAUUUCUUUCUUUCAUAUAUUAAUUUUGCAACGAGUAGUCUAUAUAACGGUAAGCUACAUUUUCCUGCAGAAAAAGGAUUGCUUCUCUAAGCUUACCUUGGAAGUUUUGAAGAGAAAAAUAUAAAGCUUUAUUUUUUGUGUGUGGUUGGGAUUUCUUCACUUUACUCAGAAUGGUACAUAAUUUAAAAGUUAUGAAUUGUUUAUUUUUGGAAUUAUGCAUUUAAUAUUUUUGAACGGCAGUUGGGCUACUGAAGCCACAGAAAGCAAAUCUGCAGAUAAGUGGGGGCUAUUGUAGUGGUUUGCACUGCUAUAUUUGGGAGAGGAAAAGUUUGGACAUUUGGCUUUUGUUGCAAAUGAAGAAAGUUUUUUGGGUAGGAUUAAUCACCUAAAAGCCUUAAUAAGUUGUGACCUAGGUCAAAAGCCCAAGAAGUGUUUCUUUUUUUGUUUUUGUUUUGUUUUGCAUGUGUAGCAUUAUUUGUGUGUGUUUGCCUGAUUAUAGAUGAAAGUGCUUGAUAAAAUUCCCAAAACGUAUUCAUUCUCUAGGAUUAUGCUACCAUAGCAAUUAAAGAGUAUAAAGAGUUUCAUGCCCAGAUAAUUAUAGAAAUAGUUUUUUAGGUGCAUGUUUGCUAAAAUUUAUAUGCCUAAGGAAGCACUUAUGAUUGAAAGCACCAGGACAAUUCUUUCUUACUGCCCAUUCAUAACCAUUUUUUCUCCCAUUUUACAUAGAAAGGCUUUCUGCUUAUCUAUUUAGAAUCUUUAUAUGAUUGAUGAUCCCACCAUGUAAAAAUUUCUCAGAUACAAAAUAAAGGAACACUUAGAAAUAUUACAGUGUUAGGCCGGGAGCGGUGGCUCACGCCUACAAUCCCAGCACUUUGGGAGGCCGAGGUGGGUGGAUCACGAGGUCGAGAGAUCGAGACCAUCCUGGUCAACAUGGUGAAACCCUGUCUCUACUAAAAAUACAAAAACUUAGCUGGGCAUGGUGGCAUGUGCCUGUAAUCACAGCUACUCAGGAGGCUGAGGCAGGAGAAUUGCCUGAACCCAGGAGGCGGAGGUUUCGGUGAGCCGAGAUGGCGCCAUUGCACUCCAGCCUGGGUAACAAGAGCCAAACUCUGUCUCAAAAAAAAAAAAAAAAAAAAUUACAGUGUCAAGAAGGUGAACAUCUCUAAGGACUGAUAAGCAAAUCCUUUUGAAAGCCAGGUGAUUUAUAAUUCUUUGCUAUCAAUAUAUACAGAUAGAUUAUUUAAAAUUAUUAUGAUGAUUGAUCACUAUAGAAGUUUGCAAUUAACUUGGAAACAAUUCAAAGAAUGGAUUGGUCACAUGCCCAUGCCUAUAUUCCAACAUUUUGGAGAGGCUGAGGCAGGCGGAUUGCUUGAGCCAAGGAGUUUAAGACCAGCCAGGGCAACAUGAGGAGACCUCAGCUCUACAAAUAAUUUAAAAAUUAGCCAGAUGUUGUGGCAUGCGCCUGUAGUCCCAGUUACUCAGGAAGCAGAGAUUGGAGGAUUACCUGAAGUAGGGUGACAGAGCAGGGUGCUGUCUCAAAAAACAAAGAAGAAAAAAGAAGAAUAAAUUGAUAUUUCAAUACUAAUAUUACAUCCCCCAACUAUCAUUUAUGUAAAUGUUUCUCAGUACAUAUGUCCACGAAUAAAAAUUUUUAAGGGAGAAAAUAAAUUCUCACAUCUGUCUUAUUCUAGCAAUAUGACAUAUCUAUAAUAUGUAAGCUAAUUGGAAAGAAAAAAAAUUUCCCACAGUACCACCAAUAACCUUAACAGAUGACAUGAUAAACUAUGCUAUUGGCCUCAAUUCUUUACUUUUUUCAUUCUUUGCCUUGAAAAUGUGCAGUUCUUUUCACAAAAGUAGCCGAUUAUGUUUCUGAGUAGGAAAAUCUCUCUUUAUGCUCUCACAACGCUCUCAAUAUGUCAUUUCUGACACAAGAUGUGCAGUUUUUUUUUCUGCACAGACCAGUUCUUUGAUAUCAGCAGAAUGCUCUUUAAUUUUAUUAAAGGCUGAAACUAUCUACCUGGAGACAGCGUUAGAUCCACAGGUUAGAUCCCACAAGAAAGAUCCCUCUUCUGAUGUUAAUCAUAAGUCCAGGUUGUCACUUCCGAGUAACCCACUAUAAAGUAAAGUUUCCCAUUGUCCCUUCCUUGGGUUAGGUCGUUCGCUAGAAGAGCUCACAGAACUCAAGAAUAGUUCACUUGGUGGAUUAGAGUUUAUUGUAAAAGGAUGCAACUCUAAAAUAGCCAGAUGGAAGAGAUGGAUAGGGCAAAGUCUAUGGGAAAGGGCACAGCUUCCACACCCUCUCCAGGCUUGCCACCCUCUUAGCACCUCAGUGUGUUCACCAGUCUGGAAGCUUUCUAAAUUGCGCUCUUUUAGCUUUUCAUGGAGGCUUCAUUACCCAGGCGUAAUUGAUUAAAUCAUCAGCCACUGAUGAUGAAGUGAAUCUCUAGUCCUUUUUCCCCUCCCUGGAGGAAGGAAUAAGAGGGUGAGGCUGAAAUUUCUAGCCCUUUAAUCACUGGAUGGCUCCCCUAGCAACCAGUUCCCAUCCUUCGGGGCUUUCCAAAAGUCACUUCAUUAACAUAAACUCAGGUGUGGUUGAAGGGGAUUGUUACAAAUAACAAAAAAUAGUCCUUUCAUCUUUAUCAUCCUUAUCACUUCGAAAAUUCCAAGGGUUUUAGAAGCCUGUGCCAGGAACUGGGAUGAAGACUAACUAUAUGCCUCUUCUUAUAAAUUUCCCAAUCCCCUGCUUCAGGGUUUGACUUUGCGACUUGCCUUAGCUAAUAGAAUAGGGUGGACGAGACAUUGUGCCACUUAUGGGUACAGUCCUCGACAGACCUUACAUGUUUCUGUUUUCUCUCCCAUGCAUCUGCCAGAGCUGUGGCAAAGAAGUGACCAGGCUAGGCAGCUCGUGGAAAGAGAGGAUGAGAGAUCUGUGAGGUACAGUUAUACCAGAUGAUCUGCCCCAGCCGAAACCAGCCAGAAGAGAGCUGACUGCCUGCUGCCCCACAGUCACAUACAUUAAAAUAGUAACUAGCAAACUGAAUCUACUGAGUUUUGGGUAGCAGCAAUUGCUAGCCCACAUAUAUAUUUAAUAGUUAACUAUGCAUUAUUCUUGUAAUUUUGAUCACUUGCUUGCUAUUAAUAACAAGAAUAAGAACAAAAUCCAUAAGACACUUUGUUUUUUGAGACCGAGUUUCGCUUUUGCACCCAGACUGGAGUUUUGCACCCAGACUGGAGUGCAAUGGCGCGAUCUCGGCUCUCGACAGCCUCUUCCAAGCAAUUCUCCUGCCUCAGCCUCCGGAAUAGCUGGGACUACAGGUGCACGCCACGAAGCCCAGAUAAUUUUUGUAUUUUUAGUAGAGACGGGGUUUCACCAUGUUGACCAGGAUGGUCUGGAUCUCUUGUGAUCCACCCACCUCGGCCUCCCAAAGUGCUGGGAUUACAGGCGUGAGCCACCGCGCCCGGCCUCAAGACACAUUUUAAUACAUGCCUUAGAGCAUUAUGACCACAGAUAAUUAAAAUAUUAUUUUAGAUACUUAUUUUUGUUGAAGAAAAUUAUUAUUGAGUGGUCACAUUUGGGCAAAAUAAAAAUGCGUUACAUUUGAAUUAAAAUGCAUAAGCAUAUGAAUGCAAACAAUGAAAAAAAUGAAGAAAAAAUAGAUGGUGUAUUUUUAAGAUCAGUAAUGGUGGGUAUCAAUUCACUAUGGGGCUUAGGUUUCAUUCAGAGAUGCAAAACCAUUAGGGGGUGUCUAUCUAUCUAUUUUUGUAAAAGAAAGGUUUUGUUACACAGAUUUGAUUGUAUGCAAUUUUGGGAUCUGGUUAAACAGCCUUUGUAAGGUGGUAGCUUUUGCAUCUGAUACUGGAGCUUCAAGUCCACAAAGCAGACAAUUUGGAAGGGGAAACUGAAUGUAAAAUCAGAGAGUUAGAACAAGCUGGAUCCCUUAAGCAGGAGCUUAGUCAAGAACAGGCUGGGAUCCACAUUAGUUCUUACUACCCCCAACCAUAAUGAUGUGGAGAUGCUACAGGAGAGGCUGGUGCUCUUCAUCGAAGAGCUAAACACACACCUGUUCCAUGAGUUAGAGAACCUGAAGGAAGAUCCAGGGACAGGUACAGCUGUUGCAGGUCCUGCAGCUGAUCCAUGCCAACAAGGUGAGUAGGCAGAGAAGCAACAAAAUUUAUGAGCUACAAAGUGGCCACCACCUCACUUCUAUCUUUCAAUUUCCCACAAGACUGUCUUGCGUGACCACCCUUGCCAGAAACAUACGGUAAGGAGAAUUCUAGAAAAAAUAGUUUGGCCUGAUCUCAUGGACACAUUACAGAGUGAUCAUACUUUUAAAGAGUUUUUCACAGAUUUAUUUUAAAAUGCUGAUGGGGUUCACAACAUGUUACCCCCAAAAUAUGGCACCUUGGCCUAUGAGAAAAUGGUGGAAGCCAAAAGGUCACUCUUACCUUCUUGUUGCCCAUCUCUGAGGCAAGUCAUAAAACCCAGAAAGGUCAACCUCUGACUUUCUUCCACCUUUCUACCCUGAAACAGGUCAUGGGCCCUUCAUUCCAGAGGAGCCCUGCCCAUACCCAGAAGAAAGAACUCCCUUAUCUCUGAAGGCACAGGGAUUCAGAGAAGAAUCUGAACAAACAAGCCUCACCAGGUUUUCCCUGUUAUUAACCAUUAGAUGAUACCUACUUUGUCCGAUUAUACUUCUCAGCUACACACUUCCUGAGAGCUAACAUGCGAAACACAUAGUUUUACCUGUUUCGUCGAGCCUUCACUUCAGAAGGCCCCAGAUCAUAGAAAAGUAUUAAAUAAAUGUAUAUGUAAUCUGUCUUUGUUAUAGGGGCCUUUUUGUUUUUUGAAACGUAGUUUCGCUCUUGUUACCCAGGUUGGAGUGCAAUGGCGCUAUCUCGGCUCACCGCAACCUCCGCCUCCUGGGUUCAAGCAAUUCUCCCGCCUCAGCCUCCUGAGUAGCUGGGAUUACAGGCACGCGCCACCAUGCCCAGCUAAUUUUUUGUAUUUUUAGUGGACACGGGGUUUCACCAUGUUGACCAGGAUGGUCUCGAUCUCUUGACCUCGUGAUCCACCCGCCUCGGCCUCCCAAAGUGCUGGGAUUACAGGCUUGAGCCACCGCGCCGGGCCUUGUUAUAGGGGCCUUUUAAUUAAAAAAAAAAAAAAAAAACAAAAAAACCCUCAGGAGUUAAAACACCUUAGAAGGGCUGAUAGAAAAUCUUAAAUAUACUUUAAUACAAAAUGGCAAAAUACAUUGUAUGACAUAGAGGUUAAGAACUCAACUUCUAGAUCAACUUCAGCUACAGUUUGAAUCUCAUCUUCACUACUAUUAGCCAUAGGAAUUUGGCAAUUUUCUGGACUUCAGUUUUCUUACCCAUAAAAUUAUCUGACAAAAGGGGAGUACUACCUAACUGUAAAUUAUAUUAUUAAAUAAAUGAGAUGAACUCUACACAAGUGUGAACUAAUCUCUUAACUUUUUUUUAUUCUAAGUGUAAUUCUAAAACCCUGUAUCUCUGACGUUGAAUUUUUAGUAGGCUCAAGGUUUUCUUAUUUUGUUUACUCUAUUAGAGGGAAAUUGACAUUUGCAUGCUAUCAACUUGGAGUUCACCAGCUUCCAUUUAUGGAUCUACCAAGUGUCCUUUUGAAAGAGUGUCAUAAAAGGAUGUGACUUGGUAUUGUCGAAGUUUUUGAAGAAGAAGGAGGUGAUGAGAAAGGCUUCAUAUGCAAUGGUAAAAUGCAAUUUGAGGAGUUUUUAUUUCAAGAUGCCAUGCUAACUCAAUGCCCACAGUAAUCUUCAUGAACCCUUUGAUGACACUUUAAUUCAAGCCAGCAAAAUGUUUUGAAAGAUAUUUUCACUGGAGAUGGAAUUCUGGGUCAGCAGUUCCUGCCUCCCUCCUACCCAACCCCAAUCAGUAAGUUUGCUUGCUUCAGUGUCUUCUGACUUUUAUAGUUUCUGACAAGAAUUCUGUUGUCAUACUGAUUUUUGUCCUCUGACUCUAUUAUACUUUUUUUUCUGGUCGAUCUUAAACUUUUCACGUCGUCAUGUGUUUUCAGCAAUUUGAUUAUAAUAUGCCUUGGUGUGGUGACCUGUAUGUAAGUCCUAAUAAACUCAUCUGGUUGUUAAGCUGGACUUGUCCCAGUCAUUCUCUGGUCUCUUGGCACCUUCCUAGUUUUUGGGGGGAGAAUAUUAUAGUCCUAAGUUUUUCUCAUAACAGUAAUUUGAUUUGAUGUGCUGGAGGGUAUUACCAAAACACAAAGGAAAUCUUUUCUCUCUGCUUUACAUUUUGUAGGGCUUA